UGGGGAAUAUUGGACAAUGGGGGCAACCCUGAUCCAGCCAUGCCGCGUGUGUGAAGAAGGCCUUUUGGUUGUAAAGCACUUUAAGCAGUGAAGAAGACUCCAUGGUUAAUACCCAUGGACGAUGACAUUAGCUGCAGAAUAAGCACCGGCUAACUCUGUGCCAGCAGCCGCGGUAAUACAGAGGGUGCAAGCGUUAAUGGGAAUUACUGGGCGUAAAGCGAGCGUAGGUGGCUUGAUAAGUCAGAUGUGAAAGCCCCGGGCUUAACCUGGGAACGGCAUCUGAUACUGUUAGGCUAGAGUAGGUGAGAGGAAGGUAGAAUUCCAGGUGUAGCGGUGAAAUGCGUAGAGAUCUGGAGGAAUACCGAUGGCGAAGGCAGCCUUCUGGCAUCAUACUGACACUGAGGUUCGAAAGCGUGGGUAGCAAACA
rnacentral:rRNA from 1 species